AGGCGGUUAUAUUAGUCAGGUGUUAAAUCCUCGGGCUCAACCCGAGAAUCGCAUUUGAAACGGUAUAACUAGAAGAAGUCAGAGGUAAGCAGAACUCUCGGUGUAGGGGUGAAAUCCGUUGAUAUCGAGGGGAAUACCAAAUGCGAAGGCAGCUUACUGGGACUUUCUUGACGCUGAGGCACGAAAGCGUGGGUAGCGAAUCGGAUUAGAUACCCGAGUAGUCCACGCCCUAAACGCUGUCCGUUGGCUUUUGGAGGAAUCGACCCCUUCAGAGGCGAAGCUAACGCGUUAAACGGACCGCCUGGGUAGUACGAGCGCAAGCUUAAAACUCAAAGGAAUAGACGGGGGCUCGCACAAGCGGUGGAUCAUGAGGCUUAAUUCGUCGAUAAGCGAAAAACCUUACCAAGGCUAGAAAUCAUACUGCAUACUUAGGGAAACUUAAGUAGCCUUCGAGGGUGUAUGACAGGUGAUGCAUGGCCGUCGUCAGUUCGUGCUUUGAAGUGUUCCCUUAAGUGGGGAAACGAACGCAACCCUCGUUGCCUGUUACAAGUGUCAGGCGAGACUGCUCCCUCACGGGAGAGGAAGGUGAGGAUGACGCCAGGUCAGCAUGUCCCUUGAUGCCUUGGGCUGCACUCGUGAUACAAUGGGAAGUACAAAGGGACGCAAUACAGUAAUGUGGAGCAAAUCCUGAUAAAACUUUCCUCAGUUCGGAUUGUGGGCUGCAACUCGCCCACAUGAAGUUGGAAUCGCUAGUAAUCGUGAAUCAGCACGUCACGGUGAAUACGUUCCCGAGCCUUGUACUCACCGCCCGUCAAGUCAGGGGAGUCGGAAGUGCCCGAAGUUCGUCCUUGAGGCGACCUACGGUAAAUUCGAUAACAAGGACUAAGUCGUAACAAGGCACGGCUAGCGGAAGCUGGUCGUG
rnacentral:rRNA from 1 species